GGCCAGACUCCUACGGGAGGCAGCAGUGAGGAAUAUUGGUCAAUGGUCGGGAGACUGAACCAGCCAAGCCGCGUGAGGGAGGAAGGUACAGAGUAUCGUAAACCUCUUUUGUCAGGGAACAAAGGCGGGGACGUGUCCCCGGAUGAGUGUACCUGAAGAAAAAGCAUCGGCUAACUCCGUGCCAGCAGCCGCGGUAAUACGGAGGAUGCGAGCGUUAUCCGGAUUUAUUGGGUUUAAAGGGUGCGCAGGCGGUCUGUUAAGUCAGUGGUCAAAGCCCGGGGCUCAACCCCAUCCAGCCGUUGAAACUGGGGAUCUAGAGUGUGCGAGAGGUAUGCGGAACGCGUGGUGUAGCGGUGAAAUGCAUAGAUAUCACGCAGAACCCCGAUUGCGAAGGCAGCGUACCGGUGCACAACUGACGCUCAGGCACGAAAGCGUGGGUAUCGAACAGGAUUAGAUACCCGAGUA
rnacentral:rRNA from 1 species